rnacentral:tRNA from 1 species
GUGGCUAUAGCUCAGCUGGUAGAGCGCCUGACUGUGGAUCAGGUGGUCGCGGGUUCAAAUCCCGCUAGCCACC